GUGAGGAAUAUUGGUCAAUGGACGGAAGUCUGAACCAGCCAUGCCGCGUGCAGGAAUAAGGUCCUAUGGAUUGUAAACUGCUUUUAUUCGGGAAUAAACCUCUUUACGUGUAGGGAGCUGAAGGUACCGAAGGAAUAAGCACCGGCUAACUCCGUGCCAGCAGCCGCGGUAAUACGGAGGGUGCAAGCGUUAUCCGGAAUCAUUGGGUUUAAAGGGUCCGCAGGCGGGCUAUCAAGUCAGAGGUGAAAUCCCACAGCUUAACUGUGGAACUGCCUUUGAAACUGAUGGUCUUGAAUUAAGUGGGCGUUGGCGGAAUAUGACAUGUAGCGGUGAAAUGCAUAGAUAUGUCAUGGAACACCGAAAGCGAAGGCAGCUAACGAUACUUAUGUUGACGCUCAUGGACGAAAGCGUGGGUAGCGAACAGGAUUAGAUACCCCAGUAGUCC
rnacentral:rRNA from 1 species